rnacentral:rRNA from 1 species
GCUGUCUCCACCCGAGACUCAGUGAAAUUGAACUCGCUGUGAAGAUGCAGUGUACCCGCGGCAAGACGGAAAGACCCCGUGAACCUUUACUAUAGCUUGACACUGAACAUUGAGCCUUGAUGUGUAGGAUAGGUGGGAGGCUUUGAAGCGUGGACGCCAGUCUGCGUGGAGCCAACCUUGAAAUACCACCCUUUAAUGUUUGAUGUUCUAACGUUGGCCCCUUAUCGGGGUUGCGGACAGUGUCUGGUGGGUAGUUUGACUGGGGCGGUCUCCUCCCAAAGAGUAACGGAGGAGCACGAAGGUUAGCUAAUCCUGGUCGGACAUCAGGAGGUUAGUGCAAUGGCAUAAGCUAGCUUGACUGCGAGCGUGACGGCGCGAGCAGGUGCGAAAGCAGGUCAUAGUGAUCCGGUGGUUCUGAAUGGAAGGGCCAUCGCUCAACGGAUAAAAGGUACUCCGGGGAUAACAGGCUGAUACCGCCCAAGAGUUCAUAUCGACGGCGGUGUUUGGCACCUCGAUGUCGGCUCAUCACAUCCUGGGGCUGAAGUAGGUCCCAAGGGUAUGGCUGUUCGCCAUUUAAAGUGGUACGCGAGCUGGGUUUAGAACGUCGUGAGACAGUUCGGUCCCUAUCUGCCGUGGGCGCUGGAGAAUUGAGGGGGGCUGCUCCUAGUACGAGAGGACCGGAGUGGACGCAUCACUGGUGUUCGGGUUGUCAUGCCAAUGGCAUUGCCCGGUAGCUAAAUGCGGAAGAGAUAAGUGCUGAAAGCAUCUAAGCACGAAACUUGC